AUUCCAGCUCCAAUAGCGUAUAUUAAAGUUGUUGCAGUUAAAAAGCUCGUAGUUGGAUUUCGGGAUGGGUCAGUUGGUCCGCCUCACGGUGUGUUACUGACUGGUCUGUUCUUCUUCGCAAAGACUGUGUAUUCUCUUCAUUGAGUGUGCUCAGGAUUUACGACGUUUACUUUGAAAAAAUUAGAGUGUUCAAAGCAGGCCUACCGCUUGAAUACAUGAGCAUGGAAUAGUGGAAUAGGACUUUGGUCUUAUUUUGUUGGUUUCUAAGACCGAAGUAAUGAUUAAGAGGGACAGUUGGGGGCAUUAGUAUUUCGUUGUCAGAGGUGAAAUUCUUGGAUUUACGAAAGACUAACAACUGCGAAAGCAUUUGCCAAGAAUGUUUUCAUCA
rnacentral:rRNA from 1 species